UACAGAGGGGGGCAAGCGUUGUUCGGAAUUACUGGGCGUAAAGGGCGCGUAGGCGGCCUUCUAAGUCGAACGUGAAAUCCCUGGGCUCAACCCAGGAACUGCGUCCGAUACUGGAAGGCUUGAAUCCGGGAGAGGGAUGCGGAAUUCCAGGUGUAGCGGUGAAAUGCGUAGAUAUCUGGAGGAACACCGGUGGCGAAGGCGGCAUCCUGGACCGGUAUUGACGCUGAGGCGCGAAAGCUAGGGGAGCAAACGGG
rnacentral:rRNA from 1 species